CCUCUCUUUAUAUCUCCAUCUCUUUAUCUCUCUCUCCCUCUCUUUAUAACUCUCUCCCUCUCUUUAUCUUUCUCUCCCUCUCUUUAUAUCUCUCCCCCUCUCUUUAUAUCUCUCUCUCUCUUCAUAUCUCUCUCCCUCUCUUUAUAUCUCUAUCCCGCUCUUAUUAUCUCCCUCUCUUCAUCUCUCUCCCUCUCUUUAUGUCUCUGUCCCUCUCCUUAUAUCUCUCUCCCUCUCUUUAUCUCUCUGUCCCUCUCCUUAUAUCUCUCUCCCUCUCUUUAUCUCUCUCUCCCACUCUUUAUAUCUCUCUCCCUCUCUUUAUAUCUCUCUCCCUCUCCUUAUAUCUCUCUCCCUCUCUUUACAUCUCCCUCUCUUUAUAUCUCUCUCCCUCUCUUUAUAUCUCUGUCCCUCUCCUUAUAUCUCUCACCCUCUCUUUAUCUCUCUCUCCCACUCUUUAUAUCUCUCCCUCUCUUUAUAUCUCUCUCCCUCUCUUCAUCUCUCUCCCUCUCUUCAUAUCUCUCUCCCUCUAUAUCUCCCUCCCUCUUUUUAUAUCCCUCUCCCUCUCUUCAUAUCUCUCUCCCUCUCUUUAUAUCCCCCUCUCUUUAUAUCUCUCUCUCUCUUUAACUCUCUCUCCCUCUCUUCAUAUCUCUCUCCCUCUCUUCAUAUCUCUCUCCCUCUCUUUAUAUCUCUAUCCCUCUCUUUAUAUCUCCCUCUCUUUAUGUCUCUCUCUCUUUAUAUCUCUCUCCCUCCAUCUCUCUCCCUCUCUUUAUAUCUCUAUCCCUCUCUUUAUCUCUCUCCAACUCUUCAUCUCUCUCCCUCUCUUUAUAUCUCCCUCCCUCUCUUUAUAUCUCUAUCCCUCUCUUUUUAUCCCCCUCUCUUUAUAUCUCUCUCCCUCUCUUCAUCUCUCUCCCUCUCUUUAUAUCUCUAUCCCUCUCUUUAUAUCUCCCUCUCUUCAUCUCUCUCCCUCCCUUUAUAUCUCCCUCCCUCUCUUUAUAUCUCUAUCCCUCUCUUUAUAUCUCCCUCUCUUCAUCUCUCUCCCUCCCUUUAUAUCUCUCUCUCUCUUUAUAUCUCUCUCCCUCUAUUUAUAUCUCUAUCCCUCUCUUUAUAUCUCCCUCUCUUCAUCUCUCUCCCUCUCUUUAUAUCUCUCUCCUUCUCUUUACCUCCCUCUCUUUAUCUCUCUCUCCCUCUCUUUAUAUCUCCCUCUCUUUAUCUCUCUCUCCCUCUCUUUAUAUCUCUUUAUCUCUCUCUCCCUCUCUUUAUAUCUCUCUCCCUCUCUUUAUCUUUCUCUCCCUCUCUUUAUAUCUCCCUCUCUUUAUAUAUCUGUCCCUCUCCUUAUAUCUCUCUCCCUCUCUUUAUCUCUCUCUCCCACUCUUUAUAUCUCUCUCCCUCUCUUUAUAUCUCUCUCCCUCUCCUUAUAUCUCUCUCCCUCUCUUUACAUCUCCCUCUCUUUAUAUCUCUCUCCCUCUCUUUAUAUCUCCCUCUCUUUAUAUCUCCCUCUCUUUAUCUCUCUCUCCCUCUCUUUCUCUCUCUCCCUCUCUACAUAUCUCUCUCCCUCUCUUUAUAUCCCCCUCUCUUUAUAUAUCUCUCUCUCUUUAUAUCUCUCCCCCUCUCUUUAUAUCUCUCUCACUCUCUUCAUCUCUCUCCCUCUCUUUAUAUCUCUCUCCUUCUCUUUAUCUCCCUCUCUUGAUAGCUCCCUCUCUUUAUCUCUCUCUCCCUCUCUUUAUAUCUCCCUCUCUUUAUCUCUCUCUCCCUCUCUUUAUCUCUCUCUCCCUCUCUUUAUAUCUCCCUCUCUUUAUCUCUCUCUCCCUCUCUUUAUAUCUCCCUAUCUUUAUCUCUGUCUCCCUCUCUUUAUAUCUCUCUCCCUCUCUUUAUAUCUCCCUCUCUUUAUAUCUCCCUCUCUUUAUAUCUCUGUCCCUCUCCUUAUAUCUCUCUCCCUCUCUUUAUCUCUCUCUCCCACUCUUUAUAUCUCUCUCCCUCUCUUUAUAUCUUUCUCCCUCUCUUCAUCUCUUUCCCUCUCUUCAUUUCUCUCUCCCUCUCUUUAUAUCUCCCUCCCUCUUUUAUAUCUCUCUCCCUCUCUUCACAUCUCUCUCCCUCUCUUUAUAUCCCCCUCUCUUUAUAUAUCUCUCUCUCUCUUUAUCGCUCUCUCCCUCUCUACAUAUCUCUCUCCCUCUCUUUAUAUCCCCCUCUCUUUAUAUCUCUCUCUCUCUUUAUAUCUCUCCCCCUCUCUUUAUAUCUCUCUCACUCUCUUCAUAUCUCUCUCCCUUUCUUUAUAUCUCUAUCCCGCUCUUAUUAUCUCCCUCUCUUCAUCUCUCUCCCUCUCUUUAUGUCUCUCUCCCUCUCUUUAUCUCUCUCUCCUUCUCUUUAUAUCUCCCUCUCUUUAUAUCUCCCUCUCUUUAUCUCGCUCUCCCUCUCUUUAUAUCUCCCUCUCUUUAUCUCUCUCUCCCUCUCUUUAUAUCUCCCUCUCUUUAUCUCUCUCUCCAUCUCUUUAUAUCUCUCUCCCUCUCUUUAUCUUUCUCUCCCUCUCUUUAUAUCUCCCUCUCUUCAUCUCUCUCCCUCUCUUUAUAUCUCUCUCCUUCUCUUUAUCUCCCUCUCUUUAUAUCUCCCUCUCUUUAUCUCUCUCUCCCUCUCUUUAUAUCUCCCUCUCUUUAUCUCUCUCUCCCUCUCUUUAAAUCUCCAUCUCUUUAUCUCUCUCUCCCUCUCUUUAUAUCUCUCUCCCUCUCUUUAUCUUUCUCUCCCUCUCUUUAUAUCUCUGUCCCUCUCCUUAUAUCUCUCUCCCUCUUUUUAUGUCUCUCUCCCACUCUUUAUAUCUCUCUCCCUCUCUUUAUAUCUCUCUCCCUCUCCUUAUAUCUCUCUCCCUCUCUUUAUAUCUCUCUCCCUCUCUUUAUCUUUCUCUCCCUCUCUUUAUAUCUCUGUCCCUCUCCUUAUAUCUCUCUCCCUCUUUUUAUGUCUCUCUCCCACUCUUUAUAUCUCUCUCCCUCUCUUUAUAUCUCUCUCCCUCUCUUCAUCUCUCUCCCUCUCUUCAUAUCUCUCUCCCUCUCUUUAUAUCUCCCUCCCUCUUUUUAUAUCCCUCUCCCUCUCUUCAUAUCUCUCUCCCUCUCUUUAUAUCCCCCUCUCUUUAUAUAUCUCUCUCUCUUUAACUCUCUCUCCCUCUCUUCAUAUCUCUCUCCCUCUCUUUAUAUCUCUAUCCCUCUCUUUAUAUCUCCCUCUCUUUAUGUCUCUCUCUCUUUAUAUCUCUCUCCCUCUCUUCAUCUCUCUCCCUCUCUUUAUAUCUCUAUCCCUCUCUUUAUAUCUCUCUCCAACUCUUCAUCUCUCUCCCUCUCUUUAUAUCUCCCUCCCUCUCUUUAUAUCUCUAUCCCUCUCUUUUUAUCCCCCUCUCUUUAUAUCUCUCUCCCUCUCUUCAUCUCUCUCCCUCUCUUUAUAUCUC
ensembl:lncRNA